UACGUAGGGGGCUAGCGUUGUCCGGAUUUAUUGGGCGUAAAGAGCGUGUAGGCGGCCAGGUAGGUCUGCUGUGAAAACUCGAGGCUCAACCUCGAGACGUCGGCGGAAACCAUCUGGCUAGAGUCCGGAAGAGGAGAGUGGAAUUCCUGGUGUAGCGGUGAAAUGCGCAGAUAUCAGGAAGAACACCCGUGGCGAAGGCGGGUUGCUGGGCCGACACUGACGCUGAAGCGCGAAAGCCAGGGGAGCGAACGGG
rnacentral:rRNA from 1 species